AAGCCACUGAUCGUGACGCCAGCAGCCUGUUCACGUGACGUCAUGAAGGUACAAGCUGUCCGUCGGUCAAUAUAAGAGCCUUCUUGGGAUGAAGUCGGUGCACCCAUACGGAGAAUGUGUCUGCGUCGGCUGCAAUCGGAAAAGGGGCACACAUUACGUCAGAGACAUGAAUGACGGAUGCAGACAUGGACUGAGCCUGGUCCUGGACGUGGAGCUGAAUGAAUACGUCCCGCUCACCGUCGAAGCUGGAUUCGCCAUUAUGGU